GAUCUGAACUUUAGGGACUAGUCAGAAACACCAUGGCCAGGCAGAAGGCCCAGUGGAUGAGCACUCCCAAGAGUUCAUUCAGGUUUGGUCUAUAGGAAAUUAUUAGAACUUCCUUUGCUGGAGCAAUAUCAGGAGCCUAAUGAGGUAAAAACCAAAUCGUGGGUGUAAGACAGUAAGGAUAGAUCAUGCUUCCAGAAGAACCAGCUUUGAGCUUUCCUCAUUCCCUUUGAGUUCAUUAGUUUUCACGCUUAUCUCUAUUUACCUCCUAUUUCCUUCGGGGUGUCGGUUCUGCUAUGGAGGGGAGUCUCACCUACGUAAUUCUCACCUUUUCCUCUUUUCUGAGGCAGGUGUUUCAGGUAGAAAAGUUUCCAAACAUCCCACAUGAGGCAUUGCACAAGUUUUAAAAUGUGGUGAUUACACCGUCAUUUCGUUCUGAGGAUUUCUAAGUUUCCAUCGUGAAUGGAAAUUCUUUGACCCCCCUCUUCCUGUCUUAUCCCCGGCAAGGAUGCAGUUUACAAAGAGAAGUUUACUACAGAAGGGCCACAAAAAUGACAGGCAUAUCUGAAAAAACAAAGACAUGGAAAUUAUCAAAAUAAAAAGUGUAACCACUGCAAUGACAACCAUAUUCACUAAGUUAAACAGAAGAUGAGAUGACACGUUGAAAGGGAAUUUAUUCAGAGCACAGCAAAGAAAUGCAAGAAUAUGGGGAAAACGAAAGAGAAGUUAAAGGCAUCAAAGCUAGAACAAGGCCUGUUAUGCCUGAUUGGAGUUCUGGAAGGAGAAUCAAGAUAAGAUGGAGCAGAGGUGAUCGCUACUGAGGAGAUCCCAGAAAUGAUGCAAACUGAAUGAUCUGUGAACCCACAGAUCCAGGACACAUAACAUAUGGGAAGCAGGAUAAACUAAAACCAAAUCCAUGCCUAGACACACUGCAUUGAAAUGGCAAAACAUCAAAGACAGAAGACCUUGAAAGUCACCGGGGAGAAAACACAGAUCCCCUGAAAAGGACGGUUGGAAGGAAGCCAACUUCUCAGCAGAACAAUGGAAGCCAGGAGACUGACCAUAACCCGUCGAGCGAAAAGAGCUGUCCACCUAGAUCUGUGCCCUCUGCAAAAGGGUGGCUCAGUCUAUUAAGUGUCUGCCUUCUGCUCAGGGACUCUUCCAGAAUAAGGGCCAAGAAUCUACAGGAUGCAAAACUGAGAGCAUUUACCACCAAGAGACCCAUUCUAAAGAAUAAACUUCAAGGAAGAAAAUGAUGCCAACAGGAUGGUAUGAUAUGACCAGAAAAAAACGUAACUCAAAUAAUGCUUAUCGCAUUUUCAACUCUUACUUGAAGAUUGGGCUGCUGAUGAAGAUGCUAUUUCUUGGAAGCAGUCCAAAAAAAGGGAAGUUUUGUACUGUCAGAAUAUAUUCAUAAGGAAAGCAAAUUUUUGCUCUCACACAAAUGUGUAUUUUCUUCAAAACCUUGGAUAAAUAGGUCUGGGAAUGAAAUGACAGAACUGGAUUUCAGAAUAACAAAGUCCAUAAAUUUUCACCUGGAUCUAAGAUUCUAUCGUGCGUUGUGGCAAUUUCAGCAUCUUCCCUGGAGAAGAAUGACAGGAGGAAUUGAAACAGGCAUAACUUAAGAAAAAGUUGUUCUCUGGGGCACCUGAGUGGCUCAGUGACACACAGUGAAGUGUCCAACUCUGAUUUCAGCUCAGGUCUUAAUCUCAGAGUUGGAGGAUGGAGCUCUCCGUUGGGCUCUGCGCUGAGUGUUGAGCUUGCUUGGGGUUCUCUCCUUCUCCCUCUGCCCCACCCUCCAAUUUUCACAUGCAUGCGUGAGCUCUCAAAGGAAGGAAGAAGGAAGGAAGAAAGAAAAAAAGGAAGGAAGGAAGAGGAAGGGAAGGGAGAAAGAAAGGGAAAAAGAAAGAAAGAAAGAAAAGGAAAAAGAAAAAAAAAAGUUGUCCUCUCGAGGUCUUUCAUUUCAGUUACUUCUCUAGCAGAGUCUAGCAAAUGAAUUAAUUUCUCUGCAAUCAACCAGUGGGUGUGAGCUGAUCCCACUAGGUUGGUAUUAUUACCUGACACCUACAAGAUUAAGUCAUUUUUUUAAAAAAUCAAGCCAUUUUUUAUCGGCAAUAGCUGCUGUUCCAUCUGUUUGACCAUCUCCCGUAAGUACAUGACAAAAUGAUUCCAGAGUCAUGCAGUUUCUUUUCUGCUGAAGACUGACGAAAAUGGCCCAUUAUCUUUUUGCUUCAGUCUAUAAUUCUGUUAAAAUAUAGUUGUACUUACAUUCUUAAUAUACAAACUUGAGAAUGUGUGCAAGAUGUUUUGCUUGUCAUUCCUAAGUCACUUACUAUCUUCGCUGUGAUUUUUCUACGGUCAAUCUAAAGAUGGGUUUUCUAUUCUAUAAACUCAUCUUCUAUCAGUUUUGCCCUUCUCUUGGUAAGACCACCUCUCCCCACUCCCAUGCCCUAGCCUUACUCCUUGACAAGCAACUUUAAGUAGUUUAAUUCCUGAAAGUCCUCACUUUCUGAAAAGGAAAAACACAACUGUUGCUUCUACUGUUUCCUUUUACUAUUUGCACCGAUACUUCUGGUCUCCCAACGUGUGGAUUUUUUUCUCCCACCGACCAAUUCUCCAACACCAGCUGCGUGUCUGUUGAUUCCAUCUAGUUCAGACGCCAUCUGCCUGAAGUCAGGCCUCACAGGGUAAGGGCUCAGCCGCACAACACUGUUCUCUUUUCACACACCAAGAGCAAGCAUGAGACCUCAGGUCAACCACAUUUCUGUCUGACGUGACUACAAAUCAGGGAUUCCUCAACCCCCUCCUCAGGUUUGAUAAUUUACUGUAAUGGCUCACAGAACUCAGGAAAACACUUAUGUUUACUGGUUUAUUACUUAAUAAAGGAUAUAGAUGAAUAGCCAGAUGAAGAGAUACACAGAAAGGUCCAGAAAGGGUCCUGAAAGCAAGAGCUUCUGGUCUCUGGAGUUGUGGUGCACGCCCCUCCCAGCACAUGGUUGUAUUCAUCAACCUGGAAGCUCUCUGAACCCCCUAGCUCGGGGAUUUUUAUUAAGGCUUCAUCACAUAGACAUGUAACUCAAUCUCCAGUCCUUCUUUCUUUGCUGGAGGAUGAGGGUAGGGCUGAAAUUUCCAAGCGUUUUAGCUGGUCUUGCUGACCCUUUCCCACCCUGAAGCCCACCAAGAGUCACCUUAUUAGAACAGCAGAUGUUCCCAUCACCCAGAAAAUUCUAAUGGGUAUGGGAACUCUGUCAGGAACCAGAAUCAAAAGACCAAAUAUUAGGACAGAAAGUUUUCCUAGCAUCUUUAUUGCUUAGGAAUUUACAAAGGGCUUUAGGAAUGCUGAUCAGGAGCUGAAGAUAAAGGCCAAAAUAUUUAUGUAUUUUAUUAUAUCACAAUACUAUACAAUAUCUUGAAGUAGUAGAAAUACUAACUUAUGGAAGACUUUAAUAAGUCCAAGACUCCUAUUGUAAAUUCUAAGGGUAUUUAAAAAAGAAAAAAAAAAAGUCUUGUGGAAUGUAAAGAAAAAAUAAUAAAUAUAUAUAUAUAUAAAUAUGUGUGUGUAUGUAUAUAUGAAUGACAGAUUUAAAUCCAAGUAUAUCAGUUACAUUAAAUAUAAAUGAACUAAACAUUGUAAUUAAAAGCAAAGGUUGCCAGCCAGGAUUUUAAAAAACAAAAAUAUUAAGCUAUAUGAUUCUGUCAGCAGAGUCUACUGGAAUAUAAGGAUAAGAAAUGUUAAAAGCAAUAAAAUGGAUUAAGGUUCAUCAUGGAAAUACUAAUCAAAAGAAAUCUGGCAUUAUUAUAUUAAUAUCAGAAGGAUUACCAAUAUUGCCUUUUCUACAUAGCAGGCAACGAGGGGUAAGUAUUUUAGUAUCCUAGUUCUUUUCAUUCAACCUGGAAUUCAUUGCUUGAAGAAAUCUCAAAAAUAUCUCAUCUUUGAUCGUUGAAAAUUGGUGUCAGUCUAUUUAGUUCUUUUAACAAGUAUAUUGUUUACAUUUUUCUCCAAGGACUCAAAACUAUGAGAAAUUAUCUUAAAGCACUCUUAUGAUGUCUCCACUUUGAAAUCUGAUAUGUGAAAAGAAAAUGUGUUUUGUUUACCUCAUUUUUUUCUAAAAAAUUUUUUUAUACAUUAUUUAUAUAUUAUGUCUAGAUAGAAGAAGGUUUAUUGUGGAUGGUGUUGUACAUGGUUUGGCUUUUUUCCUUCCUAUGAAAUGUUGAAGGGACAGAAUACUUCCUCAAAAGCCAUAACAAGUAUUCUUGAAAUACCUUUGGCUUAAGUGGAAUUAAAUAACUGAAAGCUAAA